rnacentral:tRNA from 1 species
GCCCUUGUGGUGAAAUUGGUAGACACGCUGGCUUUAGGUGCCAGUUACUUCGGUAGUGGGGGUUCGACUCCCUCCAAGGGCACCA